AAGGAAGAUGGCGAAGACAGUGGGGAAGAGAGCAGACGUCUGACUCUGGGGUGCUUAUCUGUGUGGAAGAGACCGGUUCUUCCUGACUGGCUUCAUGUCCCUCAAGAUCCCAAAGAAGGCUAUGGCCAUUUCAAAGCAGAGACUCAGCAGCCUGCUCCUGGGUGCAAAGAGACAAGGCCAGGUGCAGCCUGUGCUCACAAUCUUGGAAGCUUGGUGGUGGUGGAGGUGUUCUCCUGGCUGUUCAAGUAUUUACCCGUCUGUGUGUGACUCAUAUCCAGGAACCCAGGCAGCUUUCCUCAAUAGAUUGCUGGCUUCAGAAAACGAGCCUCCCCU
rnacentral:lncRNA from 1 species